AUUGAACGCUGGCGGCAGGCUUAACACAUGCAAGUCGAGCGGAGAUGAGGUGCUUGCACCUUAUCUUAGCGGCGGACGGGUGAGUAAUGCUUAGGAAUCUGCCUAUUAGUGGGGGACAACAUUCCGAAAGGAAUGCUAAUACCGCAUACGUCCUACGGGAGAAAGCAGGGGAUCUUCGGACCUUGCGCUAAUAGAUGAGCCUAAGUCGGAUUAGCUAGUUGGUGGGGUAAAGGCCUACCAAGGCGACGAUCUGUAGCGGGUCUGAGAGGAUGAUCCGCCACACUGGGACUGAGACACGGCCCAGACUCCUACGGGAGGCAGCAGUGGGGAAUAUUGGACAAUGGGCGGAAGCCUGAUCCGGCCAUGCCGCGUGUGUGGAGAAGGCCUUUUGGUUGUAAAGCACUUUAAGCGAGGAGGAGGCUACCUAGAUUAAUACUCUGGGAUAGUGGACGUUACUCGCAGAAUAAGCACCGGCUAACUCUGUGCCAGCAGCCGCCGUAACAC
rnacentral:rRNA from 1 species